GUCCGUGAACCCCGUAAUAGAUUUCUACGUGAGUGUAGCAUUGCUCUUAUUUUACAGCCGCUGCGCCUGCUCUUCACGCCACCGCUUCCCAUCGGCGGCAGCCCAAACCCCGGAACCCUCUCGGCCAAUGCCGGCGCCGCUCGCCGCCUCCUGGCGCCGGCAUGCCUCCGCCGCGGCGUCCUCCUCCACUCCCAGGACCCUCCUCUUGCUCGUCCCGGUUCUCAUCCUCCUCGUCUUCGUCCUCUCCAGAGCCCCAGAUCUCACCUUCGCCCCCGCCACUGCCGCCUCACCCCACCUCCCGGCCCGGCUCCGCCCCUUCGACUGCUACGCCUCGCCGCAGGCCUCCCCGGUCUUGGCCAGCCUCGUGGAGGGCGUGCCCCGCCCCUUCCUCUACUCCCUCGCCGACCUGGGGUCCCUCCCCGACCGCCCGCACCGGAACAUCGCCCGCCUCCUCAAGGGCAAGCGCUUCCGCAAGCCCGACAUCUCCCAGACAAUCCAGGAACUGCUCGCGGGGGAGGUGGGGAGGGGCUCCGGCGGCGGGGUGGUGGUGGACGUCGGGGCCAAUGUUGGGAUGGCGGCCUUCGCGGCGGCCGUGAUGGGGUUCCGGGUGGUGGCAUUCGAGCCGGUAUUCGAGAACCUGCAGCGGGUCUGCGACGGGGUGUACCUGAACCGGGUGCAGGACCAGGUGGUGGUGUAUCAUGCUGCAGCAUCUGACCGGGUUGGGAACAUCACAAUGCAUAAGGUGAUCGGACGACUCGACAACAGUGCUAUAUCUGCAACUGGUGCGAAGUUAGCAUUCAAAUCUAAUGAAGAAGUUGCUGUCGAGGUUGCUACAAUCCCAUUGGAUGAAGUCAUUCCAGAUGCAGAGCGAGUGGUUCUGAUCAAAAUUGACGUUCAAGGUUGGGAAUCUCAUGUUCUGAGAGGUGCAUCAAAGUUGCUCUCGAGGAGGAGAGGUGAAGCUCCCUACCUUAUAUACGAAGAGGACGAGCGCCUGCUGCAGGCGAGCAACAGUAGUGCACAAGAGAUAAGGGCAUUUCUUGGCAGUGUUGGUUACAAUCAGUGUACGCGGCAUGGGACGGAUGCUCACUGUACAAAAGAAUAGACAAAGCUUUUUCUGCCUGGUGGUUGGACGCCCCUUAGCUGGGGAUACAUAGAACAGUCAAAUAGGAAAUCCUAAGCUAGGAAUGAGACUACGGUAGGUCGCAUGGCUCGAGGACAUAGAGCGCGAAGCACUGGAAAGAACCAGGGAAGAAGAGAAGGAAGCCACACCCACCACAAGCAGUCACCAGGAUCAAAGUUGAGCAAGAGAUCAUCAAUUUGUCAGUCUCGUCAGAUGACGAGGAGGAUCAUCAAGCUCGAACUCAUCAAUGUGUACAAGGGCCAUCUACCUGUACUCCUUCCAUUCCUAAAUAUAAGUCUUUUUAGAGAUUUCUAUAUCGAUUACAUACGGAUGUAUAUAGAUGUAUUUUAGAGUGUAGAUUCUCUCAUUUUGCUUCGCAUGUAGUUCGUAUUGAAAUCUCUAAAAGACUUAUAUUUAGAAACGGAAAGGAUGGAUUAUUCCUGUUGAGAAAUUAAUGGAAAGGGGUAGUGGUGUAGUGCCCGGUUGAAAAAGCACACUAAGGCCAUUACACGAACCGUGCUGGUGGAACCAGUAUCUACCGGUGGGAAAUCCACCAUCUAGAUCCGUGCUGGUGGAACCCAUAAGAUUUUUUUUUCCACCUCCGAUUCGGGAUACGAGACCUAUACAGAUGCAAUACGAGAUGGAGCCACGAGGGGGCACAGACAAGACCGGCGGCGGCACGGCUGUACCACGAGGCCGGCGAGGAGCGGCGCCGAAUCACGCUGGCGUACAACAGAUACACCGCGGUGGGCGUUGGGGAGAGCUGCUCCAGCAAGGUUCCACCACGACGGCCACCCACCACAAUGGGUC